rnacentral:rRNA from 1 species
AGUCUUUACGGAGAAAGCUUUAUGCACCAUUGGAUGAGCCUGCACUUGAUUAGUUUGUUGGUAGGGUAAUGGCCUACCAAGACUGUGAUCAAUAGCUGAUUUGAGAGGAUGAUCACCCACAUUGGGACUGAGACACGGCCCAAACUCCUACGGGAGGCAGCAGUGGGGAAUCUUGCACAAUGGAGGAAACUCUGAUGCAGCGAUGCCGCGUGAGUGAAGAAGGCCUUUGGGUUGUAAAGCUCUUUCGUCGGGGAAGAAA